rnacentral:rRNA from 1 species
UACGUAGGCAGCAAGCGUUGUUCGGAGUUACUGGGCGUAAAGGGUGCGUAGGCGGCUUUUUAAGUUUGGUGUGAAAUCUCCCGGCUCAACUGGGAGGGUGCGCCGAAUACUGAGAGGCUAGAGUGUGGGGAGAGGAAAGUGGAAUUCCUGGUGUAGCGGUGAAAUGCGUAGAUAUCAGGAGGAACACCGGUGGUGUAAACGGCUUUCUGGACCAUAACUGACGCUGAGGCACGAAAGCGUGGGUAGCAACAGG